UACGAAGGGUGCAAGCGUUACUCGGAAUUACUGGGCGUAAAGCGUGCGUAGGUGGUGAGUUAAGUCUGUCGUGAAAGCCCCGGGCUCAACCUGGGAAUGGCGAUGGAUACUGGCUCGCUAGAGUGCGGUAGAGGAGAGUGGAAUUCCCGGUGUAGCAGUGAAAUGCGCAGAUAUCAGGAGGAACACCGGUGGCGAAGGCGGCACUCUGGGCCGGUACUGACGCUGAGGAGCGAAAGCGUGGGGAGCGAACAGG
rnacentral:rRNA from 1 species